rnacentral:rRNA from 1 species
UACGUAGGGUGCAAGCGUUGUCCGGAAUUAUUGGGCGUAAAGCGCGUGUAGGCGGCUUAGCAAGUCGGGUGUGAAAGCCCUCAGCUUAACUGAGGAAGUGCGCCCGAAACUACUGAGCUUGAGUACCGGAGAGGAUGGCGGAAUUCCCGGUGUAGAGGUGAAAUUCGUAGAUAUCGGGAGGAACACCAGUGGCGAAGGCGGCCAUCUGGACGGAUACUGACGCUGAGACGCGAAAGCGUGGGGAGCAAACAGG